GGAGACGUUGCAGCUUAGAACCUCAGACAGACCAUCUGCGGCCGCACUUGCGGCUACAGCUGCUUCAGGGUGGAGCUUAUUCUUCAAUUCUCCCAGUAUGUUCGACACAAUCUGCAUUGCCGCCUUCAGCGCCUGCAAGUUUUCGGCAUUUCGCUCACGCUGCCUCAUCUCCUGUUGAUCUGCGGAUUCACAAGGCCCCAACUCUUCGGCGGCCCUUUUGAUUUCAUCCAACUCCGCGCACAAGCUUUCUUUACUUGUCCUCAUAUCUGCUAUUUGAUUCACGUGUCCUUCGCUGCUUCUUUCCACCCCAUUCAAUGUCUGCGUCGUCGCCUGCGACAUCUGCGCAAAUUCAACUGCCACCAUCGAAAGGGAGACGACAUAUUCUUCAUCAUUUGCUGUCAGUCCUUGAAGACUUGUCUCCAGUGACGCAUCGUUUAGCGAUGCGUUUUGAAAUGCCGAUUGUACGCCACGGACAACUUCCCGAAUGCCUUCCAGGUCGUUCAACUCUGCAUCGCUAGGUCGCGUUGUCGACCUUAUCCUCAAGACGUGGCUGGCACAGUGUGAUUCAAGGUGCGCGAUGAUGUCUUUCCGAAGAACCGCCGACGAACACUUUGGACAGCACACGGAGUGGUGCUCACAGUCUCGGUGGAAGUGAUCGGUUAUGCUUGAAACAUCAGUGAUGACCUCGCAUCCGUUGUCUCUGUUCCAGCAGCUGACCUGUCAUUUCAUCAUCUUCUCCGCUGGAAACUCCAUCCAAUGGACCUCGUUUUCUGGACACAGGUCGCCAUCGAGGAAACAGACAUGGCUGCCCCUUGACCUCCAGUGCUCGUAGCAGGGCUCGCAUAG